CACCAGAGAAAAACACCGAAAAGAAAAAGUUGAUCAAAGAAGAAGAAAAAGGCGGGAUAUAGAUAGUAGAGAAGAAAAGAAAGUAAGACUAGUCAUUGAAUGUUGGGAGGAGAAUAUAUGCUGAAUUGCAUCAACUGUCAAGACAAAGGAAGUGAAGGAGAAGAAACCAGCCAGGGAUUCAACUCUAGAGUCUAAUCAAAUGAUAGCAAUUCCCAAAAGAGCUCUAAACUAAGAGAGAGAGAAAGAGAUAUAAGAAGAAGAAAUAAUCACAGAAGAAUAAGAUCUCAAAACCCCAACUUGCUGGUUAUAUUAAUAUCACCACCACACAACAACAUGGCACCACUUAUGAAACCCAAUUUCAGAAGACAAUCUGAGUUUUUCUGGCCAAGAAUUGUUCUGAAAAAGCUGCUAAACAUACACAAGAAUGAAGAUGAUUUUAGUGCUGACCCAGAUGAAGCUGAUAGUGGCUCUGAUUCUGAUGAUGAAGAAAUUGGUGUUAACAAAGUGGAGCAAUCUAAAUUCGUGUUUAAUGGAAAUGAGACAUUCAUCAAGAGAAGACGGCGGAAUUCGGAGACUUUUCGGACUCAAUAUAUAAACAACAAAGAGAUUAGAGUUUGUGUUGGGACAUGGAACGUUGGCGGUGUAGUUCCACCGGAUGACCUUGAUAUCAAAGAUUGGUUGGAUACAGAUGAGCUAGCCGAUAUAUAUGUGCUCGGUUUUCAAGAGAUUGUUCCAUUAAAUGCUGGAAACAUUUUCGGUGCUGAAGACAACAAACCUGUACAAGUAUGGGAAAGUGUUAUUCGCAAUACGUUGAAUAAAACUCAGCCAUUGAAGGAAAAAACAUUUAAAUGCUACAGUGCACCUCCUUCUCCAACAAAAACUAGUACAUUGAAUGAUAUAGUAGAUAUGGAAGAUGAAAUACUGAAUGGAACUUCUAGUGAUGAUGAAAUUGGUGAAGAAGUCCAUCCAGUGGACGAUGAGUCGAUGGACUUCUUCGAAGAAAUCGAUCAAAUGGAUGGAACCGAAGAUAGUGUUAAGCUCCCAACACUUGCUGUUGUGUUAAAGGCUCUAAGAGAAGAGGAAGAAUUAGAGAGUGAAAUUAUUUCACCAAAGAUUCUGAAGGCCUUAAAACAAGACAGAUUAGAGACUGUAAGGAUUCUACAGGCUUUGAAAGAAGAUGGGUUAGAGAAUGAAGUUAUUUCGCCCAAGGUACUAAGCAGAUUAAAUUGCCUGAAAUUGGAGGAUAGUCUGGGAAGCCCGGAACCAGCAGUUAAACACCAACAGAAAAUUUUAAACAGAAACCUUAGUGGGAUAGAAAAGAUUGGUCUAAGUUGGCCAGAGCCACCACUGAAUUUCGUUGGCCAGCAUGUUCAUGAGAGAGCGAAAUCGUUUAAAUCAGUAAAGACUUUUAAGAAAUCCGAUUCUAUUAGAAAAUACAAUUCUUUUAAGCCAGCACCAAGUGGAGAUAGAUUUGGUUUUGCUGAGACAGAUUCAAUCUUGGAAUGUGACCUCGAUGCACAUAUAGCCAAGAAGAGACCACCAUUCGUAAAGAUAGUUAGCAAGCAAAUGGUUGGAGUUUUCAUUACUAUAUGGGUUCGGAGAGGCUUGAGGCGACAUAUUCAGAACUUGAAGGUUUCUGCUGUUGGUGUUGGUGUUAUGGGUUACAUUGGUAACAAGGGAUCUGUAUCAGUAAGCAUGUCUAUCUACCAGACACCCUUCUGUUUUAUAUGCACACAUUUAACAUCCGGUGAAAAAGAAGAAAAUGAACUCAAAAGAAAUUCUGAUGUGCAAGAAAUUCAUAGACGGACCCAGUUUCAUUCAGUUUCUGCAAUUGGUUUAGCUAAAACCAUAAGCGACCAUGAAAGAAUAUUUUGGUUUGGGGAUUUAAACUAUCGAAUCAGUUUACCGUACGAGAAAACAUGCAAACUCAUCUCAGAAAGCGCAUGGUCUUCAUUGCUUGAGAAAGACCAGCUAUCAAAAGAAUUCAAAAAAGGGCACGUAUUUGAAGGAUGGAAAGAAGGUACCUUAAGUUUUGCACCUACAUACAAAUAUGAACCUCAUUCAAGAAAAUAUUGCGGAGAUGACCCAACGAAAAAGGAAAAGAGACGUGUUCCUUCAUGGUGUGACCGGAUACUUUCAUUUGGGAAGGGAUUGAGAAACUUGAAUUAUAGAAGGACAGAAAACUUGCUUUCUGAUCAUCGACCAGUGACUGCCCUUUUUAUGGCUGAGGUAGAGGUCUUCUGUCAUAGGAAACUAAAGAAGGCCCUUGUAUUCACCGAUGCAGAACUAGCACUCGAAGAGGAAGAAGAAGAUGCUAUACGAGAUUUGGAUUUCAAUAUCGGGAUUGGAAGGAGUCGUUUCGGAUAGGAUGCAUCAAGUUGGGAUUGUUAAAGAAAUCCAUUUCUGGCAUUACAAUACUUCUCCAGAGUUCAAACAUAAACACAGGCAACUGCGCACAUUUCUCAUGUUGUCAAUAAAAUUUUACAACCUGUAAAAGUGUUCACAUAACAAAGCAACUUCAUCCUUGAUCUCCAAUUGAUGUUUUGUUCGGGUUCCUUCAUAACUCAGUCAACUGAUUACAAAAAGAGAGCCAAAUCAAACCUCUUCCCAACAACCUGAGCUUUAGCACCCCUUGAGGGGAAAAAAAAGAAUGUACCAGCCGGGAAUCGAACCCGGGUCUGUACCGUGGCAGGGUACUAUUCUACCACUAGACCACUGGUACUUUGUUGUUGAUAACAAUAUAAAGAGUUAACUGACGGGUUCCAAGUUUUAAAGUGGCACACUGCAAGAUGGCAUCUGAUGCCUAGUUAGCAAUUCGGGAUUCGGCAAACGUACGAGUAUUAUACGGUUUUUUAUCGGUCCAAAAUUCGGUCAACGGGACGUGAUUCGUCAGUAAUUCGGAGCGGCAUACGUACGUGUAU